AUACCUUUCUCGGCCUUUUGGCUAAGAUCAAGUGUAGUAUCUGUUCUUAUCAGUUUAAUAUCUGAUACGUGGAUCAUCGAUCCACUAUGAUAUUAAAUUAAUUUAUUGUGGGGGAGGGCUCAUCACAGUGGCUUGCCACUAGGGCUCUUGCGUGUCGCCUAGGCAUUGCACUAUUGCCCAGGCCUGGCACACCCCGA